rnacentral:rRNA from 1 species
GAUGAACGCUGGCGGCGUGCUUAACACAUGCAAGUCGAACGAAGCACUUUAUUUGAUUUCCUUCGGGACUGAUUAUUUUGUGACUGAGUGGCGGACGGGUGAGUAACGCGUGGGUAACCUGCCUUGUACAGGGGGAUAACAGUUGGAAACGGCUGCUAAUACCGCAUAAGCGCACAGCAUCGCAUGAUGCAGUGUGAAAAACUCCGGUGGUAUAAGAUGGACCCGCGUUGGAUUAGCUAGUUGGUGAGGUAACGGCCCACCAAGGCGACGAUCCAUAGCCGACGUGAGAGGGUGACCGGCCACAUUGGGACUGAGACACGGCCCAAACUCCUACGGGAGGCAGCAGUGGGGAAUAUUGCACAAUGGGCGAAAGCCUGAUGCAGCGACGCCGCGUGAGCGAAGAAGUAUUUCGGUAUGUAAAGCUCUAUCAGCAGGGAAGAUAAUGACGGUACCUGACUAAGAAGCACCGGCUAAAUACGUG